rnacentral:lncRNA from 1 species
CCACUUUGCCACUGCCCUGACUCCUUCCUGCAGACCAUGGAUCUGUCGUCGAUGCAGAGCGUCAACAGGGUGGAGGUUUGCCGCCCUAGCAGACUCGUGUGUUGUUGCCGCCGCAAUCCUUCUCUUUGUUGGAGUCUUCCUCCUCUGGUACGUCCUCUCUCGCGACCCUCGUAGGUUCGUGGUUUCACUCCUGGAGUGGUGGAUUCCUCGUUGAUAUGUUAAUGCGGUUUGCUUGGUCUUGUUUCUUGCAGGAGAGAAAAAAAUUGGUCUCUUUGACACGCUUGGGAUCGACGGAUCGUUCAUGCCAUGGUUGGAUUUGAAUGGGGCAGUGUCUAUCCAAAAUUUGUUUGGUUGACUGGACAAUUUGUUUGUUUGGUUGUCUUAAUGUAACCCGAUUCGCAUAAUUUUGAAAACAUCAGCAAAGAUUUCAGUGGCUGGGAGUGUUUGCCAGAGUGGAAACGAAGCAUUUGCUGGAAGGAGCUCAAGAUUUCGCUAUUACCCUGCUGAUAGUUUUGUGAGGUAAUUUAGCUACACAUUUGCAUGUUUCUUUUCUGCUGUAGCAAUGCCUAUUUCAAUUUAGAAAGUAGAUAUAUGAAGUGUGAUUUAAGUGUCUAAUAGCGGAUGUUGUUAGCAGUCUAAUUUCUCCCAAGCAACUGCUUUCAAUGGAGACUUGACAGGUCUGGUUUUACUUCACGAAGCCAUUUUCUGAAUUUUCCGAAGUUGGUUGCACACCAUGGCGUCAUGAGAGAGAGAGAGAGUUUCAGUUCUUAUGAAUUAAUGUUUCUUUAUUUAUUUAGAGCUUCUGUUCAGAUCAUUGACGUUUGCAUAUCCCCUGUUUGUAGUAUCAUUUUGUGUCUCAUGUUAUAACUACCAUUUUUUCCCUCUACAACCUGUAAAUUUCGAAUUUAGUUUACUGAUCUAUGAAAGUCAUGUAUAACUUGGCAGAAAUGUUAUCCCUACAAAUAAGAACACCCUUAUUCUUUAUUGUGCAGCAACCAUGUUGACAAGCUGGCAUCUCUUUGUUCUAUUCUAUUGACUUCUUGUGGCAUUAUGUAUGAAGCCCUUUAAGCACAAACCUUUCGACGCAAGGACUGUCAUGGGAUUUGGAGUGCUCAAUGGCAUCUUAAUUGGACUUCUCAACCAGAGUCUAGGUUUCAACUCUGUUGGUUUCUAUCAG